rnacentral:rRNA from 1 species
GCGUGCGUCAGUACGUGCAAGUAGAGCGAACUCUGAUGGAUGAGCAUGGCAGUACGUGAGGGUCUGCGGGCGGACGGGGUGAGUAACACGUAGUCAACUCUGCCGUCAUGACUGGGAUAAGUACCGGAAAUCGGUAGAAUAAGACCGGUAUAAUUUAUUUUGCAGCAUUGUGGAAAUAAUGAAGAGGCGGUAGCAAUCUGUCACCAUAGGAUGGGCCCUGCGGGGGCAUUAGCUAGUUGGUGGGGUAACGGCUCACCUAAGGCGACGAUGCGUAGCUGGACCUGAGAGGGUGAACGGCCACACUGGGACUGAGACACGGUCCAGACUCCUACGGGAGGCAGCAGUAGGGAAUAUUCCGCAAUGGGCGCAAGCCUGACGGAGCAACGCCGCGUGAGUGAUGAAGGCUUUCGGAUCGUAAAGUUCUGUUGCCAAGGAAGAACGUCUUAAAGAGUAACCUUAGGAGAGUGACGGUACUUGAGAAGAAAGCCCCGGCUAACUACGUGCCAGCAGCCGCGGUAAUACGUAGGGGGCAAGCGUUGUCCGGAAUUAUUGGGCGUAAAGCGCGCGCAGGCGGUUCUUUAAGUCUGGUGUUUAAACCCGAGGCUCAACUUCGGGUCGCAAUGGAAAAUGGGCAACUUGAGUUCUGAAGAGGGGAGUGGAAUUUCCCGUGGAGCGGUGAAAUGGGUAGAUAUUUGGAGGAACACCAGUGGGGAAGGGGACUCUCUGGGCUGUAAAUGACGCUGAGGCGCGAAAGCGGUGGGAGCAAACCGGAUUAGAUACCCUGGUAGUUCCCGCCGUAAACGAUGAUUGAUAGGUGUUAGGGGCCUCGAUACCCUUGGUGCCGAAGCUAACACAUUAAGCAUACCGCUGGAGAG